GGGUUGUGAGGUUAAGCGACUAAGCGUACACGGUGGAUGCCCUGGCAGUCAGAGGCGAUGAAGGACGUGCUAAUCUGCGAAAAGCGUCGGUAAGGUGAUAUGAACCGUUACAGCCGGCGAUGUCCGAAUGGGGAAACCCAGUGCAAUUCGUUGCACUAUCGUUAACUGAAUACAUAGGUUAACGAGGCGAACCGGGGGAACUGAAACAUCUAAGUACCCCGAGGAAAAGAAAUCAACCGAGAUUCCCCCAGUAGCGGCGAGCGAACGGGGAGCAGCCCAGAGUCUGAAUCAGCUUGUGUGUUAGUGGAACGGUCUGGAAAGUCCGACGGUACAGGGUGAUAGUCCCGUACACCAAAAUGCACAGGCUGUGAACUCGAAGAGUAGGGCGGGACACGUGGUAUCCUGUCUGAAUAUGGGGGGACCAUCCUCCAAGGCUAAAUACUCCUGACUGACCGAUAGUGAACCAGUACCGUGAGGGAAAGGCGAAAAGAACCCCGGCGAGGGGAGUGAAAAAGAACCUGAAACCGUGUACGUACAAGCAGUGGGAGCACCUUCGGGUGUGACUGCGUACCUUUUGUAUAAUGGGUCAGCGACUUAUAUUCUGUAGCAAGGUUAACCGUAUAGGGGAGCCGCAGGGAAACCGAGUCUUAACUGGGCGUUAAGUUGCAGGGUAUAGACCCGAAACCCGGUGAUCUAGCCAUGGGCAGGUUGAAGGUUGGGUAACACUAACUGGAGGACCGAACCGACUAAUGUUGAAAAAUUAGCGGAUGACUUGUGGCUGGGGGUGAAAGGCCAAUCAAACCGGGAGAUAGCUGGUUCUCCCCGAAAGCUAUUUAGGUAGCGCCUCGUGAACUCAUCUUCGGGGGUAGAGCACUGUUUCGGCUAGGGGGUCAUCCCGACUUACCAACCCGAUGCAAACUACGAAUACCGAAGAAUGUUAUCACGGGAGACACACGGCGGGUGCUAACGUCCGUCGUGAAGAGGGAAACAACCCAGACCGCCAGCUAAGGUCCCAAAGUCACAGUUAAGUGGGAAACGAUGUGGGAAGGCACAGACAGCCAGGAUGUUGGCUUAGAAGCAGCCAUCAUUUAAAGAAAGCGUAAUAGCUCACUGGUCGAGUCGGCCUGCGCGGAAGAUGUAACGGGGCUAAACUGUGCACCGAAGCUGCGGCAGCGACACUAUGUGUUGUUGGGUAGGGGAGCGUUCUGUAAGCCUGCGAAGGUGGCCUGUGAGGGUUGCUGGAGGUAUCAGAAGUGCGAAUGCUGACAUAAGUAACGAUAAUGCGGGUGAAAAGCCCGCACGCCGGAAGACCAAGGGUUCCUGUCCAACGUUAAUCGGGGCAGGGUGAGUCGACCCCUAAGGCGAGGCCGAAAGGCGUAGUCGAUGGGAAACAGGUUAAUAUUCCUGUACUUGGUGUUACUGCGAAGGGGGGACGGAGAAGGCUAUGUUAGCCGGGCGACGGUUGUCCCGGUUUAAGCAUGUAGGCGGAGGUUCCAGGUAAAUCCGGUACCUUUUUAACGCUGAGGUGUGAUGACGAGGCACUACGGUGCUGAAGUAACAAAUGCCCUGCUUCCAGGAAAAGCCUCUAAGCAUCAGGUAACAUUGAAUCGUACCCCAAACCGACACAGGUGGUCAGGUAGAGAAUACCAAGGCGCUUGAGAGAACUCGGGUGAAGGAACUAGGCAAAAUGGUGCCGUAACUUCGGGAGAAGGCACGCUGAUAUGUAGGUGAAGCCCCUGCGGGUGGAGCUGAAAUCAGUCGAAGAUACCAGCUGGCUGCAACUGUUUAUUAAAAACACAGCACUGUGCAAACACGAAAGUGGACGUAUACGGUGUGACGCCUGCCCGGUGCCGGAAGGUUAAUUGAUGGGGUUAUCCGUAAGGAGAAGCUCUUGAUCGAAGCCCCGGUAAACGGCGGCCGUAACUAUAACGGUCCUAAGGUAGCGAAAUUCCUUGUCGGGUAAGUUCCGACCUGCACGAAUGGCGUAAUGAUGGCCAGGCUGUCUCCACCCGAGACUCAGUGAAAUUGAACUCGCUGUGAAGAUGCAGUGUACCCGCGGCAAGACGGAAAGACCCCGUGAACCUUUACUAUAGCUUGACACUGAACAUUGAGCCUUGAUGUGUAGGAUAGGUGGGAGGCUUUGAAGCGUGGACGCCAGUCUGCGUGGAGCCAACCUUGAAAUACCACCCUUUAAUGUUUGAUGUUCUAACGUUGGCCCCUUAUCGGGGUUGCGGACAGUGUCUGGUGGGUAGUUUGACUGGGGCGGUCUCCUCCCAAAGAGUAACGGAGGAGCACGAAGGUUAGCUAAUCCUGGUCGGACAUCAGGAGGUUAGUGCAAUGGCAUAAGCUAGCUUGACUGCGAGCGUGACGGCGCGAGCAGGUGCGAAAGCAGGUCAUAGUGAUCCGGUGGUUCUGAAUGGAAGGGCCAUCGCUCAACGGAUAAAAGGUACUCCGGGGAUAACAGGCUGAUACCGCCCAAGAGUUCAUAUCGACGGCGGUGUUUGGCACCUCGAUGUCGGCUCAUCACAUCCUGGGGCUGAAGUAGGUCCCAAGGGUAUGGCUGUUCGCCAUUUAAAGUGGUACGCGAGCUGGGUUUAGAACGUCGUGAGACAGUUCGGUCCCUAUCUGCCGUGGGCGCUGGAGAAUUGAGGGGGGCUGCUCCUAGUACGAGAGGACCGGAGUGGACGCAUCACUGGUGUUCGGGUUGUCAUGCCAAUGGCAUUGCCCGGUAGCUAAAUGCGGAAGAGAUAAGUGCUGAAAGCAUCUAAGCACGAAACUUGCCCCGAGAUGAGUUCUCCCUGAGACUUUAAGUCUCCUGAAGGAACGUUAAAGACGAUGACGUUGAUAGGUCGGGUGUGUAAGCGUAGCGAUACGUUGAGCUAACCGAUACUAAUGAACCGUGAGGCUUAACCUUACAACGCCGAAGGUGUUU
rnacentral:rRNA from 1 species